rnacentral:rRNA from 1 species
GAUGAACGCUGGCGGCGUGCCUAAUACAUGCAAGUCGAGCGAAUGGAUCAAGAGCUUGCUCUUAUGAAGUUAGCGGCGGACGGGUGAGUAACACGUGGGUAACCUGCCCAUAAGACUGGGAUAACUCCGGGAAACCGGGGCUAAUACCGGAUAACAUUUUGAACCGCAUGGUUCGAAAUUGAAAGGCGGCUUCGCCUGCCCCUCAUGGAUGGACCCGCGACGCAUUAGCUAGUUGGUGAGGUAACGGCUCACCAAGGCAACGAUGUGUAGCCGACCUGAGAGGGUGAUCGGCCACACUGGGACUGAGACACGGCCCAGACUCCUACGGGAGGCAGCAGUAGGGAAUCUUCCGCAAUGGACGAAAGUCUGACGGAGCAACGCCGCGUGAGUGAUGAAGGCUUUCGGGUCGUAAAACUCUGUUGUUAGGGAAGAACAAGUGCUAGUUGAAUAAGCUGGCACCCUGACGGUACCUAACCAGAAAGCCACGGCUAACUACAUGCCAGCCGCCGCCGUAA